rnacentral:rRNA from 1 species
AGCGUGAGUGAAAGGUGAAAAGAACCCCUGUUAGGGGAGUGAAAUAGAAUCUGAAACCAGAAACCUACAAGCGGUGAGAGGGCGUUAAUGCCUGAUCGCGUGCCUUUUGUAUAAUGAUCCGGCGAGUUACAGUCGAUUGCUUGGUUAAGUCUCUUCGGGACGGAGCCCUAGCGAAAGCGAGUGUGAAUAGCGCGUAGCCUUCGGGCAGGUAAGCGGCUGUAGACGCGAAAGCGAGUGAUCUAUCCAUGAGCAGGGUGAAACGGGGGUAAAACCCUGUGGAGGCCCGAACCCACUUAUGUUGAAAAAUGAGGGGAUGACUUGUGGAUAGGAGUGAAAGUCUAAUCAAACUCGCAGAUAUCUCGUUCUCCCCGAAAUAGCUUUAGGGCUAGCCUCGAGUUAUUGUGCGAUCGGGGGUAGAGAGACUGAUUGGGUCUGGGGGGCUACCCGCCUACCCUGCCCAGCCAAACUCCGAAUACUGGUCGCAUCAACCUCGGGAGUUAGACCAUGGGGGAUAAGCUCCAUGGUCGAGAGGGAAACAGCCCAGAUCGUCGGCUAAGGUCCCCAAAACAUACUAAGUGCUUAAGGAAGUGGAAGUGCGAAGACAGCCAGGAUGUUGGCUUAGAAGCAGCCACCAUUUAAAAAGUGCGUAAUAGCUUACUGGUCGAGCACUUUUGCGCCGAAAAUGAACGGGACUCAAGUAUGUUACCGAAGCCGCGGAUGGCUCACCCAUGGGUGGUGGGUCGUGGUAGGGGAGCGCUGUACGCGAGGUUGAAGCCGUACCGUAAGGAGCGGUGGACGACGUACAGGUGAGAAUGCCGGAACGAGUAGCGAUAAAGUAAGUGAGAAUCUUACUCGCCGUAAGCCUAAGGUUUCCUGGGGCAGGCAAUUCCGCCCAGGGUUAGUCGGAACCUAAGGCGAGGCCGAAAGGCGUAGUCGAUGGAUAGCAGGUUAAUAUUCCUGCACCAGCUUAUGUUAGCGAAGGAGGGACGGGAGUCUGAAGGUCAGCCUACGAUCGGAAGUUGUAGGUUCAAGCCUGAGGGGUUGUUCCAGGAAAAUCCGGAACGUUAUGGCCUCAGGGGCGAUGAGGAGUCCGACUCAGGGCGGAACUGAUUGAACGGCUCUCCAAGAAAAGCUUCUAAGUGUUUGAAGCAUAAGCUGUCCGUACUAAAACUGACACAGGUAGGCGGGGUGAGUAUCCUAAGGCGCUCGAGAGAAAUCACGUUAAGGAACUCGGCAAAUUGAGUCCGUAACUUCGGGAUAAGGACUGCUCGGAUGGGUGAUGGGAUUUACUCCUUGAGCUCGACUGAGUCGCAGAGAAAUGGCCCUGGCGACUGUUUAUUAAAAACACAGGUCUGUGCAAAGGCCAAAAGCCUACGUAUACAGACUGACACCUGCCCAAUGCCGGUAGGUUAAGAGGACGGGUUAGGACUUCGGUCCGAAGCUCAGAAUCGAAGCCCCGGUGAAUGGCGGCCGUAACUAUGACGGUCCUAAGGUAGCGAAAUUCCUUGUCGGGUAAGUUCCGACC